CAUUCUUCUCCUCCUGUCAUCUCUUUCAGCCCCCCACCCCCUCCCCCCGUCUCCUCCUGUAAUCUUUGGGCGGCUGUUAUUGCUUACCCUAGGACGAUUCUCGUCCUCUGCCGAGGAGUGGGACAGAGGGGCUGGGCGUCUGGAUGGACACACUCUCCCAUGGACCCGUAGUUUCCGCGUGGGCAGGACUUCCAGACGCAGCAAUGACAGAAUAUUAAGAGUCUGCAACUCUGGCCACCGCCACACACUUUGUGCUCCUUUUUGUACGGACCAAAGCCCAUUUUGAUAAUUAUUUUUCUACAAGUGAAUCUUAAUCUGUGGGAUUUUACUACGGACCAGUCUUUUUAUCCGCUUUAAUGUGAUAAGGACGUCGUUUUAAAUCCACUCUGCACCUGAUAACGGCCAUAUAAAUACCUGGACCAGAAGACACGGAUAACCAACCAAAAUCAACAACAACAACAACAACAACAACAACAACAACAACGCUCUGAAGGCAAAAGGCGUCAACACCGGACAACGCCCUCCUGACUCAGGAGAACCCUCCAGAACUCUACUGUCGCUCUGGCUCGCUCUGAGGCUAUGACAGGGAGAGAGGAACGCCACGCUAAACCAUCAUGCUACUUCUGAGAAGCAGCGAUGAGACGUCGGCUGGCAAAACACAAGGUAGGACCACGCUGCCUCGCAACCUCGGAUAAAAACACACGAUAGCA